AUAGCAUAUAUUAAAGUUGUUGCAGUUAAAAAGCUCGUAGUUGGAUUUCUGGGAGGGUGCCAAUGUCCGUUUGAUACGUGUGCAGCGGUGCCCUUCCAUCCUUCUGUUAACGUUUCUUGGUAUUAACUUACUGGUUGCGGGCUCAGAUAUUUUACCUUGAGAAAAUUAGAGUGUUUCAGGCAGGCUUGCGCCCGAAUACAUUAGCAUGGAAUAAUAGAAUAGGACUUUGGUCUCCUUUGUUGGUUUGAGGGACUGGAGUAAUGAUUAAUAGGGACAGUUGGGGGCAUUAGUAUUUAAUUGUCAGAGGUGAAAUUCUCGGAUUUGUUAAAGACUAACUUAUG
rnacentral:rRNA from 1 species